UUGGUGACGAAUCCUGUGUUGCAGUUUCGUUUUGUGACCGACACUAACGGGUAAUUGUUUGGCCGCCAGGAUUACUCGUUUUUGCGAUCACAAAUUAUGAAAUUGCAGCAAAACUCAACGAAAUUG
rnacentral:pre_miRNA from 15 species